ACAAGAGAGAGCCAUGGACCUGGACCCAGCAUUAAUCAUCACCAUCAGGAGAAGAUGGAUAACAUAGAACUGGUUUAACAGAGAGGAAAAGGUACAAUGUCAUUUAAUUCCUUUCUCCUUCUUUUCAGGAAUACAAUUCGUACGGUUGGUGGGUUGGAGAGCUGAAAGGUGUCGUUGGUAUUGUCCCAAAGGAUUAUCUCAUGGAAGCUUACGAGUUGUAAAACUCUCUCGCUGUGAAUUGUUCCCAAGCACGAAAUGUACUCUCCCGCACAAUUCAACGCAACUUGCUUUAUUGCCUCUCAGCAGCCAAACGCCUUGCACAGCAUUCACACAGUGAACUCAGGCCCCACGCCAAGAAACGGGAAGCAAGACACUUUCAAGAACUCCAGUAAGCCCUCGUCUUCGUUCAGAGCACGCUGAGAUCCUCCAGCAAAACCACAAUAAAGCUAUUUUAUACUCAGCAUACCACACACCUCCUGGUGUUAUCUCACUGAAACCACAGAAUUCUGAACUGACAGUAGUGGAAGGUAUCAGAGCUGUUCUCUCGAGUGUCCUACACAAUGUCUG